rnacentral:rRNA from 1 species
AAAUGAAUUGACGGGGACCCGCACAAGCGGUGGAUCAUGUUCUUUAAUUCGAUGCUAAACGAGAAACCUUACCAGGGCUUGACAUCUCGAGAAGGCCUCCGAAAGGAGACUGUGCCUUUUAGGAACUCGAUGACAGGUGAUGCAUGGCCGUCGUCAGCUCGUGUCGUGAGAUGUUUGGUUAAGUCCAUCAACGAGCGCAACCCUUGCAACUAGUUGUAUUUUUCUAGUUGGACUGCCUCGGUAACGAGGAGGAAGGAGGGGACGAUGUCAGGUCAUUAUUUCCCUUACGUCCUGGGCUAGAAACGUGAUACAAUGGUCGGUACAAUGUGCAGCUAAAUCGCGAGAUCAUGCAAAUCACAUCAAAACCGAUCCCAGUUCGGAUUGGAGGCUGAAACUCGCCUCCAUGAAGUCGGAAUCGCUAGUAAUCGCAAAUCAGCAAGUUGCGGUGAAUACGUUCCCGGGUCUUGUACACACCGCCCGU